ACAAAACGCAGUAACUGACGAGAUUUUCGUGGAAGUAACCACAAGGAAGCUGCUGUUUUUAACCUAAAAAAAGCCGUUCGUCUGGGCAAAGGUG
rnacentral:ncRNA from 2 species